UACGAAGGGGGCUAGCGUUGCUCGGAAUCACUGGGCGUAAAGGGUGCGUAGGCGGGUUUUUAAGUCAGAGGUGAAAUCCUGGAGCUCAACUCCAGAACUGCCUUUGAUACUGAGAAUCUUGAGUAUGGGAGAGGUGAGUGGAACUGCGAGUGUAGAGGUGAAAUUCGUAGAUAUUCGCAAGAACACCAGUGGCGAAGGCGGCUCACUGGCCCAUAACUGACACUGAGGCACGAAAGCGUGGGGAGCAAACAGG
rnacentral:rRNA from 1 species